rnacentral:rRNA from 1 species
CCAGACUCCUACGGGAGGCAGCAGUGAGGAAUAUUGGUCAAUGGGCGAGAGCCUGAACCAGCCAAGUCGCGUGAGGGAUGACUGCCCUAUGGGUUGUAAACCUCUUUUGUAUGGGGGGAAUAAGCUUUACGAGUAGAGUGAUGACAGUACCAUACGAAUAAGCAUCGGCUAACUCCGUGCCAGCAGCCGCGGUAAUACGGAGGAUGCGAGCGUUAUCCGGAUUUAUUGGGUUUAAAGGGUGCGUAGGCGGCAUUAUAAGUUAGUGGUAAAAUAUUGGGGCUUCACCUCACUACGCCAUUAAUACUGUAGAGCUAGAGAACAGACGAGGUAGGCGGAAUAAGUUAAGUAGCGGUGAAAUGCAUAGAUAUUAGGAGGAACACCAGUGGCGAAGGCGGUCUGCUGGACAGCAACUGACGCUGAGGCGCGAAAGCGUGGGGAGCAAACAGGAUUAGAUACCCUCGUAA